rnacentral:rRNA from 1 species
CAGCCGUAAACAAUGUGCGUUAGGUGUGUCGGUAACCACGCGUUACUGAUGCGCCGAAGAGAAAUCGUGAAACGCACCACCUGGGAAGUACGGUCGCAAGGCUGAAACUUAAAGGAAUUGGCGGGGGAGCGCCACAACAGGUGGAGCCUGCGGUUUAAUUGGAUUCAACGCCGGACAUCUCACCGGAUAAGACAGCUGAAUGAUUGUCAAUCUGAAGGUUUUACAUGACUAGCUGAGAGGUGGUGCAUGGCGUCAGUGACU